rnacentral:rRNA from 1 species
CCCUUAGAUGUUCUGGGCUGCACGCGCGCUACACUGAUGCGUUCAACGAGUUUUUGACCUUGCCUGACACGGUUGGGUAAUCUUGUUAAAACGCAUCGUGAUGGGGAUAGAUUAUUGCAAUUAUUGAUCUUCAACGAGGAAUUCCUAGUAAGCGUGAGUCAUCAGCUCGUGCUGAUUACGUCCCUGCCCUUUGUACACACCGCCCGUCGCUCCUACCGAUUGGAUGGUCCGGUGAGGUUUUCGGAUUGGCGCAACGCAGCGGUUCGCCGCCGCGAUGCGCCGAGAAGUCACCCAAACCUUAUCAUCUAGAGGAAGGAGAAGUCGUAACA